UACGAAGGGGGCGAGCGUUGUUCGGAUUUACUGGGCGUAAAGGGCGCGCAGGCGGCGGAUCAAGUCAGGCGUGAAAGCCCCGGGCUUAACCUGGGAGGUGCGUCUGGGACUGAUUUGCUAGAGAUCGGGAGAGGAGAGUGGAAUUCCCAGUGUAGAGGUGAAAUUCGUAGAUAUUCGCAAGAACACCAGUGGCGAAGGCGGCUCACUGGCCCAUUACUGACGCUGAGGCACGAAAGCGUGGGGAGCAAACAGG
rnacentral:rRNA from 1 species